UGGAAGACGAAACAGCGGCGUCUGAAGGCUCACUGUCAUUCACAAGUGGCUCCAGUCUGGUUUGGGGGUUCUGCCAUCCAAGUAAAGUUAUUCACAAGUGGCUCCAGUCUGGUUUGGGGGUCUACGCUUUCUCAUCCUGUCCUGCCACCCAAGUGAAGUUAUUCACAAGUGGCUCCAGUUUGGUUUGGGGGUCUACACUUUCUCAUCCUGUCCUGCCACCCAAGUGAAGUUAUUCACAAGUGGCUCCAGUCUGGUUUGGGGGUCUACGCUUUCUUAUCCUGUCCUGAGUGAUUCUUGACAUUGAAAUUAUAUCAAAAUUUGUCAAUAAAUGUUCAUACUUUUGUCAUUAAUGUUUGAUUUCGGAUUUAUGUUGAAUUGACAGCGAAGCUUGAUAUUGAAUGAUAGCAAAAUAGCAUUAAAACAUUGUCUUCCUAUGCAUCAACAUCAUGACAUCUUGACAUCAAAUAAAUGUUGAAUUGACAUCAAAUGGCAACAAAACUUGACAUGGAAAUGACAUCAACAUCAUGACAUCUUGAUGUCAAAUAAAUGUUGAAUUGACAUCAAAGCCUGAUAUUGAAUGAUAUCAAAAUAGCAUCAAAACGUAAUCAACCAUCAUGACAUCAAAUACAUGUUGAAUUGACAUCAAAUCCCGGCAAAACAUGACAUCAAAAUAACAUCAAAAUGACAUCAGCAGAGGUCAAAAUCUUGACAUCAAAUUGACAUCAGUACAUUGACGUCAAUAUGACUUUCAUUCUAGACCUAUUU